UCCUUGGUGAUUCAUAAUAACUUUUCGAAUCGCACGGCCUUGCGCCGGCGAUGGUUCAUUCAAAUUUCUUCCCUAUCAACUUUCGAUGUUUGGGUCUUGGCCAAACAUGGUCGCAACGGGUAACGGAGGGUUAGGGCUCGACCCCGGAGAAGGAGCCUGAGAAACGGCUACUACAUCCAAGGAAGGCAGCAGGCGCGCAAAUUACCCAAUCCCGAUUCGGGGAGGUAGUGACAAUAAAUACUGAUACAGGGCUCUUUUGGGUCUUGUAAUUGGAAUGAGUACAAUUUAAAUCUCUUAACGAGGAACAAUUGGAGGGCAAGUCUGGUGCCAGCAGCCGCGGUAAUUCCAGCUCCAAUAGCGUAUAUUAAAGUUGUUGUGGUUAAAAGCUCGUAGUUGAACCUUGGGCCUGGCUGGCCGGUCCGCCUCACCGCGUGCACUGGUCCGGCCGGGCCUUUCCCUCUGUGGAACCCCAUGCUCUUCACUGAGUGUGGCGGUGAAACAGGACUUUUACUUUGAAAAAAUUAGAGUGCUCCAGGCAGGCCUAUGCUCGAAUACAUUAGCAUGGAAUAAUAAAAUAGGACGCGUGGUUCUAUUUUGUUGGUUUCUAGGACCGCCGUAAUGAUUAAUAGGGACAGUCGGGGGCAUCAGUAUUCAAUUGUCAGAGGUGAAAUUCUUGGAUUUAUUGAAGACUAACUACUGCGAAAGCAUUUGCCAAGGAUGUUUUCAUUAAUCAGGAACGAAAGUUAGGGGAUCGAAGACGAUCAGAUACCGUCGUAGUCUUAACCAUAAACUAUCCCGACAAAGAAGUGGAAGUCGUUCUCCAAGCAGACAAAUCCGCUUUCAAGGCAAAGAAGGUUGGCGUGCCGACUCCCAUCAACUCCUCCACAAGCCCGACCUCAAACGGCAAGAAGAACGGUUCACGGGCUGGGAGCCCUGGGGCUCAGCGUAUGCGCAAAGAGACAGAUGCAGACCAAAUCGACUUUAACAAGAAGAUUUUGCACAUGAGCUGGCAUCCAUUCGAAGACAGCAUUGCUAUAGCAGCAACUAAUAACCUCUUUGUUUUCUCUGCUCUGUAGUUGCUACAAAGCACAUCGAAAGCACCGGGAAUGACGUUGAACUAUCAACUGCUGGAAAUGCACUCCAUAUUUGCGAGCUCUUGCGAGGCAUCCACCUGUCGUCGUAUCAGACAACGUCGUGUGAAGAGUU
rnacentral:rRNA from 1 species